rnacentral:rRNA from 1 species
UGAACGCUAGCGGCAGGCUUAACACAUGCAAGUCGAGGGGCAGCGGGAAAUGUGCUUGCACAUUUUGCCGGCGACCGGCGCACGGGUGCGUAACGCGUAUGCAACCUACCAUAACAGGGGGAUAACACUGAGAAAUUGGUACUAAUACCCCCGUAAUAUUACUGAAGGCAUCUUUGGUAGUUGAAAGUUCCGGCGGUUAUGGAUGGGCAUGCGUUGUAUUAGCUAGUUGGUGGGGUAACGGCUCACCAAGGCGACGAUACAUAGGGGGACUGAGAGGUUAACCCCCCACAUUGGUACUGAGACACGGACCAAACUCCUACGGGAGGCAGCAGUGAGGAAUAUUGGUCAAUGGACGCAAGUCUGAACCAGCCAUGCCGCGUGCAGGAAGACGGCUCUAUGAGUUGUAAACUGCUUUUGUAUGAGGGUAAAAUUAGAUACGUGUAUCUAACUGCAAGUAUCAUACGAAUAAGGAUCGGCUAACUCCGUG